GUAGGUGAACCUGCGGAAGGAUCAUUACAGAGUUUCGAAGCCUAGGAAAAAGCAGCCGAGAGGUGAACUGUUCCUAGGAUUGAGAUCUCCACCCUUUGUUUAUAUUACCUUUGUUGCUUUAGCAGGCCCGCUCUCGGGCCGCCGGCUUCGGCUGGUCAGUGCCUGCUAGAGGACCUAAAACUCUUGUUAAUAAUAUUGUCUGAGUACUAUAUAAUAGUUAAAACUUUCAACAACGGAUCUCUUGGUUCUG
rnacentral:misc_RNA from 1 species